AAAGAAAGAAAGAAAGAAAGAAAGAAAGAAAGAAAGAAAGAAAGAAAGAAAGAAAGAAAGAAGGAAAAGAAAGAAAGAAAGAAAGAAAGAAGAAAGCAAGCAAGCUGGGGAUACGAUCCUGUCCAGUUUUCUAUUAAAUACAAGUUAACUGUUGGUGAACGUCUUGCUUUUAGUUUUGAUUCCAGUUCAUCCUAGUAGCAUCCAAAAUGGAGAUGGUGGAGAAGUGACUUUGGCCACCCCACAGUCAGCUCUGGGUGUGAAGAACUGAAGUCUCCUGACUCAUGAGUGGAAGCUGGCAGUGAGGGAGAAAGAGCCAGGUUGGACUCUGAAUGUCAUUUCCUUUACAGAAAAAAAAAAAAAAAAAAUCCCAUUGUUGGCAAGCAAGUGGCAGAAACCAAUUUAGAAAUCAUCUCUGAUUUCUCUAUAUAAAAAUUCCUUCUGCAGUUGGAUCCACAUAUACUACAUCAUAGGCACAGGAACUCACUGUAGAUGAGCAUCAGCGUUAUUUAGGUAAGGGAUGAGUACAAAAAUCACAUGCUAAGUAUGUUAAAACGUAAAUGGUGAUGGGGCAAAGUAAAACAAAUUUAUCUGAGCUGGGGAUGAGCCGUAGUGAAGAAAAUGAUGGUAGAUGACGAGCUGUAUUCAGAACACCUCCACCACCUGUUUCCAUGGGAAAACAAGGCAGCAGCCGAACCAGCAACAGAAAUCUUGGCAGCUUUCAAGAAAAGCAAUACCACACCCCGUAGGCUUGGUGAGCUAUGAAUAACACCAAGGUUCAACUUUACAUGCUAGCACAGGAUAUACUGUCAUCUACAAUUCAAAUCUUUACUUAGGAGUUUAUUGGGUUCAUUAUCAAGAGAGAACAACAAAGAAGUGUUUGAAGACUGGAUCCAGUGAGACCUGGUUUUCUACAGAUUUAUGGCUUGAGGCUCAGCACCUAAGAGGACUUUGUACUGCCUAACAGCAGUUACGCUCACAUUGUACAUUUUCCCCCAGCUGGGAACAGUAAUAGGGUCUCUCCUACCCAUAUUUCCACCUUCUUGUAACUCAGAGAAAGUUUUUAUCUUUCACAUCUUUGGCCCUCUGUCAAAGUUGCUUAAAUUGACCGGUGAAUUUAAAAACUGUUGAGAUUACCUGGACUGAAAAUCAACAAAAGUGAUGGAAUUAGCCUUGCUUCCUUAGCAAACUCAAAGCUAAUCAACACUACGUUAGAGGGACAGAAACUUCAGACUUCAAAAUGGAAUCAAACAGCAGCAGAAAGAAUGACCUUUUCAAAGCCAGAGGGCCUGGGCGCAUUACCGGAGAGUCUGGGAGAGAGCACAGCUGUAGCACUUGGGAUGACAAGGAGCAGCAUGGGUGUAACACAGCUGAUAUGAGCUUCCUCGAGGUCAACAGCACGUGCUUGACCCUCUCGGGAUGGAAACAGGGGUCCUUCGCACCGCCUGCCCCUGGACAUCAGGCUAUUUUCUCUCUUUUUUCACGUCAGUGAUUGAAGUGACUGCACAGUACUUUCCCACCCUCCCCUUGUGUGCUUUCCUUCCUGGCACUGUGGGAAAUACCACGGUGUCCACUCUUUUUGUG
ensembl:lncRNA